rnacentral:rRNA from 1 species
UACGGUGGGAGCAAGCGUUGUUCGGAUUUACUGGGCGUAAAGGGCGCGUAGGCGGUCAGCACAAGUCAGUUGUGAAAUCUCCGAGCUUAACUCGGAAAGGUCAACUGAUACUCUGCGACUAGAGUGCGGAAGGGGCAACUGGAAUUCUUGGUGUAGCGGUGAAAUGCGUAGAUAUCAAGAGGAACACCUGCGGCGAAGGCGGGUUGCUGGGCCGACACUGACGCUGAUGCGCGAAAGCCAGGGGAGCGAACGGG